rnacentral:rRNA from 1 species
UACGUAGGGUGCGAGCGUUGUCCGGAAUUAUUGGGCGUAAAGAGCUCGUAGGCGGUCUGUCGCGUCGAUCGUGAAAACUUGGGGCUUAACCCUGAGCUUGCGGUCGAUACGGGCAUGACUGGAGUUCGGCAGGGGAGACUGGAAUUCCUGGUGUAGCGGUGAAAUGCGCAGAUAUCAGGAGGAACACCAAUGGCGAAGGCAGCUCACUGGGACGGUACUGACGCUGAGACGCGAAAGCGUGGGGAGCAAACAGG